GAUGAACGCUGGCGGCGUGCCUAACACAUGCAAGUCGAACGAAGCACCUUGAAGUUUUCGGACGGAUGAGUGACUGAGUGGCGGACGGGUGAGUAACGCGUGGGUAACCUGCCUCAUACAGGGGGAUAACAGUUAGAACUGACUGCUAAUACCGCAUAAGCGCACAGCUUCGCAUGAAGCGGUGUGAAAAACUCCGGUGGUACGGGAUGGACCCGCGUCUGAUUAGCUAGUUGGCGGGGUAACGGCCCACCAAGGCGACGAUCAGUAGCCGACCUGAGAGGGUGACCGGCCACAUUGGGACUGAGACACGGCCCAAACUCCUACGGGAGGCAGCAGUGGGGAAUAUUGCACAAUGGGCGAAAGCCUGAUGCAGCAACGCCGCGUGAGUGAAGAAGUAUUUCGGUAUGUAAAGCUCUAUCAGCAGGGAAGAAAAUGACGGUACCUGACUAAGAAGCCCCGGCUAACUACGUGCCAGCCGCCGCCGUAACAC
rnacentral:rRNA from 1 species